UGCGGCAGUGGCGCAGUUGGUUAGCGCGUAGGUCUCAUAUACUCUGUAUGGACUUGGGACAUCCUAAGGUCGAGGGUUCGAACCCCUCUCUCCGCAA
rnacentral:tRNA from 1 species